rnacentral:lncRNA from 1 species
AGAUUUCUAUUUAGAAUUAAUUAAUUAAUUAUUUAAUUAGUUAGAUAUGGACUCAAAUGGGUGGAUGUCAGGAUGGCCCAUUUCGGGAUAAUGGGAACCCUAAUGUGCCAUCACCCUAUAUAAGGCUAUGGUCCCCAAUACACCGUACGAAAGCAAACACUCUCUUCUCCCCAUCUGAAGAGAAUCAAGGCAUCAGGGUACCGGUUGAGGAAGAACCAAUCUAGCCACCAUCUCUUUGUGUUUCAGGAUCACUGCAAAGGACUUUUCACCAUGGAUCCAGGUAUUUCUAAAGAUCAUCUUGUCGAUCCUAUGAUUUUAUACAUGCUUCUAUGACUAUUUUGUUUCCGCACUAAAGUAUAUGUCAUAAUAUUGUUAAGCAUGUAUAUAUAUGUAUUUAAUCUUUAGUGAUUUAAGUCUAACAAUUGGUAUCAGAGCAGGACAUGUUUGAUCUUAUGAAUAUCUACUUUUUCGAUCAUGUUUGGUUUCCUGUCAAUUUUGCCUGAUAUUGUUUUGUGUAUACGAUAUGAUUGCCUUCGUGUAUAGUUUCUUUGAAUCUACAGAAUAGAAUAUGAUUGAGGUUUUAUUUGUUCAUAUUAUAUUUUAUUUUGCCGUUUCUGAUUUGGCUGUCGUNNNNNNNNNNNNNNNNNNNNNCAAUUUUCCUUGUGGUCUUGACAGUCUUUAAAUUUUGGUAUAUAUAUGAUAUGAUACUUAUCUAUGUGCAUAUAUACAUUUACAUAUUCUUGUUUGGUUCUCUGGAUAAAGCCUUUCUAGCUACGGUACACAUAUCUUGUUUAAAUUUAAAUUAUUUUAUUGUUUUACAAAUCAAGUUGAUCCAGUAUUGUUGUUAAAUACUGUGUUAUGUGUGUUACUGCUUUAACUUGUUUUUCAAUUGAUACUGUGGAAAAGUGACAAUUUUGAAUAUUUUGGUGAAUCGGUGCCAAAGUUUCUUUUAUUUUUUUUCCAACCGGUGGUCUUCUGCAGUUGAUUUAUUUUCAGAAAAUAAAUGAUAAAUUGAUAUAAGUCUAAUUUGUUUCACUUGGUUAUAAUUUUUUAAAAAAAAACAAAUUAACAUAUUUGAUUUGGUUUCCAAAUAUGAGGAUCAGUUACUAUUUUGUUAUCAAUUUCUUUCCAUAAAGAUACAAAUUAAUUUUGUCAAUAUUAUUGUGNNNNNNNNNNNNNNNNNNNNNNNNNNNNNNNNNNNNNNNNNNNCGGUAUCAAAUCGGAUAAUCCUUAUUUGACUUUUGAAAUAUGAAUGACUAUUUAUUUUAAUUCCAUAACUGUCGGAUCAAAUUACUAUUGUUUGGAUUCAGCAUAUUUCAAUAUGAAACCGAUUUUGUCUCUCUAAUUUGAUUUAAUUAGAUACCGUAUUCAAAUUAUUAUUUUUGGAAAAGCUAUCGGUGGAUAAUUUUGGUUUUAUCCAAUUUUGUUAAAAUAAUAAAACAAAGUCCAAUUUUUUUUUUUUCGGACUUUCAAUUCCAUAUUAAAGAUAUGAUCUCCUUAUGUCAAUAAUUUUAUUAGCUACGGUUACUCAUAGUACUAUGACUAUUCUUUUGAAUUUAUUUAUUUAAAUUUUGUUAUGAACCAAAAUGAAUUCAAUGUGUACAGUACCUUAUAUUUUUCCCACGUACUGCUUUGAGCACAAUUUUAUGUGCUUAUUUCAUUUUAAUUGGUACUUGUUUUUUGAGAAAUCAUGGAUCCAAUGGCUAUUUUGGACUCAAUUCAAUUUCAUUGUAAUCUAAAUGAAUUAUACCUAGCGUACGUUUUAAUUGUUGUUGUCCCCAUGUAUGUACACUUGAGCACAAUUGAACGUGCUUAAUUCAUACUUACUGAUUUCAUACCCCGUGAGUGCAACCAACAUGUGUUGGUAUGUACUUGAUAUAGACACAAUUAUGUGUUUAGGUUCUUAUUUUAAUAGUCAUGCGAUUAUUAAAUAAAUAGAUAACAUACAAUUUUGACAUUACAUUUGUAGGUAAUGUUUAUGUGAAUUUUAAGACCUUCCCAUUUAAUUUAUUAAAUUAAAAUGUCUAAUAAUUUUAGNNNNNNNNNNNNNNNNNNNNNNNNNNNNNNNNNNNNNNNNNNNNNNNNNNNNAUUGUUCAUGCGAGCUGUUUUAGUCGGCCAAAAGGAAGACACAGUUUGGCCGAACAAUUGCAUACCUGUGAUGAUAAAUAUGUGGUAAUUAUUAAGUUUUUUUUCUCCAUGUGGGUAAUGGUUGGUGUCAAAGACGCACAUUAUCUGACAGGACUUAUUACCAAUAUUUGAUCGUUGCGUGAGAGUACCGUUUACAGUUAAUUCUUGCAAUCAAAGAUUGGGAAUUAAUGGUGUGCUUGGUAUCUUGUUUGGGUCUUAUUUAAUUUGCAUAUAAAGACUAUUGUGCAUGUCCAUAUGGUUAUUUGAUGACAUGCCUACUAAUGUUAUUGUAUGUUUAUUGUUCUUUUUUCGAUCCAGUUGCUGCUGCCACCGCUCCUAAUUUCACUGCUCAAACCAACUCUAUCUCUGUGCUAAGUGGGACUAACUUUAAGAGGCUAAAGAAAACUCCGGGAAAUUUUUUCCAAAACAAGAAAACAA